CUCAUAUUGCCAUUGUAUUCUUGGCGAAGCUACAGCGGAGAUAUUUCUUUUAUUGUCAUAGAAACUGCAGGGACGCUCGUGGCGAAAUUCCGCCGCUGCGGCGCAGCCAGUGCAGCUGCGCCGCGGUUCCUUCGCGCGCGGCUUGAGCGUCAAAGGAACUUAGCUCGGCAAGGCCUGGAAACGCGUUGGGGCUCGAAGCAGCGAGAAAGGAUCGCUUGUCGCUUCAGCACGCCAGCAUUGCGGCAGCGAAUUUCCGGUAUGUCGUCCAGAGAGAUGUAUUCGUGGUCGCCUGUGCACACGGCACAGACAACAAUUUAAUCGCCAUGCUCUGUGCCUUCCAUCAGGCUGAUGUCACUUUGGGUCGACAUCAUUAUUCGUUGCUGCUCAGUACUGGAGCAAGCCCACAGAUAUCGGUUAGCUUUCUUAGCACCUCUGAUUGGAACAGUGCAUUUUCGUGUGCAUGACCGCUGAAAUGAUCCUGCAGCAUGGCUAGUAAAUUAUGUAGCUGCGGACGUACCCGUGAUGUCUUCUGUUCUGUAUCUGCACCAAGUGGUAACUUCCUCGGCGGCUGAUGUACCGGCGAACUCUGGGAUAGCUUGUCUUUCAAAAAAUAAAGCGCCAACAGUGACAUCACAAUAAGAAGGAACAAAGACAGGACAGUGCUCUGUCACUGUUGGCGCUAUGAACUAACUAGCCCCACAACGUGUUCUACUGCAAUAACUUGUCUCUGUGACUGUUGAAGCAAGUUCACAGAAAUGCCCCACUAAAUUUCUUAGCACCUGUAAACUACAGUGAACCUUGUGCCUGCAAACGCUUAAGCCAGCCUGCAGCAAGCUUUAGUAAAUUGUGUAGUCGGGAAGACACCUGCAAUCUUUUCAGAAAUAUUUGUAUCUGCCGCCAUGGAAGAACAGCCACCAUCAGCCUCUGGUCACUUUCUUUGAGGCCGUCUGAUAUCAGGGACUCGUUAGGAGGAAUUUGUUUGUGUGACUGCUGAAGCAAGCCGACUCAAACGCUGCUAACCUUUGGUACGGGUGACCUCAGAGAAUGUAUUCUUGUGUCUGUGACCUCUGAAGCAAGCACGUUGCAAGGUGUUAGUGAAGUGUGUAGUAGCGAACGUACCUGUGACGUCUUCAGCAUUAUUUGGCUGCGACCACGGAAGAAAGGCCGCAUUCAGACUUAUGUUAAUUUUCUUAGAGGCCUUCGAGCUGCGAAUUGAAGUGAAUUUGUAUACGUGACCACUCAAGAACAGCAAGGAUUUUGUAAAUUCUAGUACCUCUGAACUCUGUUUGGUUUGGUGCUGAAGCAAGUGUCUUGUAACUGCUUUUGUACCUGUGUACCCUUAUGUUGCGUUCAUGUCUGUAAAUGCUAAAGUGGGCCUUUAGUAAUCCUAUUAUUGACCAAUGUAUCUCUAAAAUCGUUGGUAUUUUUACUGUGUGUGACCGCUGAAGUAAGCCCGCAGAAAUCCUGAACGAAGUAGAUUCCUUGAUGGCUGAGACCUCUGAACUUUUCAGCAAAUGUGCUUAUGUACCGGCAACCGCUGAAGUGAGCCAGCCCGCAGUAGGCCUCUUAGUAACUUCCUUUGUACCCCACCCUACAAAGGGAUUUCAAAAUUCUUUUACUGGUCGAGGUGCAUCUGCAAAAUAUUAGCUCAAGUGAAAUUGUCUCAUCACUACUCGAAAAUGUUUGCUCUAAUGACUUUCACCAGUAUGUGUCAUGGACGCAGAGUGCAUUUGCACUAUUAAUGAGUGACCAUACAGCGGCUGUUCGCGUCUACGGCCGAUGAACUAGUAUCAAGUAACUUCAUUAACGCCUAAUGUAGUUGUCAUACCUUGAGCAUAACUUGUGCUGCUGUAACUACUGAAGACGGCCCGCAGAAAGGCUCUAGCAACUUUGUUAUAGUGCCUAACAUAUAUGAACUUACCAGCAAAGUUUUCGUUGAUCGGCCUGCGACCACGAAUGUGAGCCUGCAGCAAGCCUCAUGAUAACUUCUUAGUGGCCCCACUGCGAGUUAAGUUUUCUUGCUAUCGAAUGUGCAUUUGUAAACAGUUUAAUUCCUGCACACUUUUAUUGGCCAUAGUGCGUCAUGACUUCUAAUGGCUGAGCUUGUAUGAUGAAAUUAUUGGGCCUUAUUUGUUUGCAUUGAUGUGCUUUACUGAAAACUGCUUAGUGCAUUUGAGAGUUGAACUUGUAAUCUUCCUGCAAGUGUUUUAUUGAAUUAAAUGCGGCAUUUUUAAUGAGA